CAGUAGCCGCGGUAACACGUAGGUGGCAAGCGUUGUCCGGAAUUAUUGGGCGUAAAGGGCUCGCAGGCGGUUUCUUAAGUCUGAUGUGAAAGCCCCCGGCUCAACCGGGGAGGGUCAUUGGAAACUGGGAAACUUGAGUGCAGAAGAGGAGAGUGGAAUUCCACGUGUAGCGGUGAAAUGCGUAGAGAUGUGGAGGAACACCAGUGGCGAAGGCGACUCUCUGGUCUGUAACUGACGCUGAGGAGCGAAAGCGUGGGGAGCGAACAGGAUUAGAUACCCGAGUAGUCCCUGUCUCUUAUAC
rnacentral:rRNA from 1 species